rnacentral:rRNA from 1 species
CGAGCGAACAGACGAGGAGCUUGCUCCUCUGACGUUAGCGGCGGACGGGUGAGUAACACGUGGAUAACCUACCUAUAAGACUGGGACAACUUCGGGAAACCGGAGCUAAUACCGGAUAAUAUAUUGAACCGCAUGGUUCAAUAGUGAAAGACGGUUUUGCUGUCACUUAUAGAUGGAUCCGCGCCGCAUUAGCUAGUUGGUAAGGUAACGGCUUACCAAGGCAACGAUGCGUAGCCGACCUGAGAGGGUGAUCGGCCACACUGGAACUGAGACACGGUCCAGACUCCUACGGGAGGCAGCAGUAGGGAAUCUUCCGCAAUGGGCGAAAGCCUGACGGAGCAACGCCGCGUGAGUGAUGAAGGUCUUCGGAUCGUAAAACUCUGUUAUUAGGGAAGAACAAAUGUGUAAGUAACUAUGCACGUCUUGACGGUACCUAAUCAGAAAGCCACGGCUAACUACGUGCCAGCAGCCGCGGUAAUACGUAGGUGGCAAGCGUUAUCCGGAAUUAUUGGGCGUAAAGCGCGCGUAGGCGGUUUUUUAAGUCUGAUGUGAAAGCCCACGGCUCAACCGUGGAGGGUCAUUGGAAACUGGAAAACUUGAGUGCAGAAGAGGAAAGUGGAAUUCCAUGUGUAGCGGUGAAAUGCGCAGAGAUAUGGAGGAACACCAGUGGCGAAGGCGACUUUCUGGUCUGUAACUGACGCUGAUGUGCGAAAGCGUG